rnacentral:rRNA from 1 species
UACAGAGGGUGCAAGCGUUGUUCGGAAUCAUUGGGCGUAAAGGGCGUGUAGGCGGUCUGUUAAGUCAUGUGUGAAAUCCCCUCGGCUCAACCGGGGAACGACGCAUGAAACUGACAGCUAGAGUACCAAAGAGGGGGGUGGAAUUCCCGGUGUAGCGGUGAAAUGCGUGAUAUCGGGAGGAACACCGGUGGCGAAGGCGGCCCCCCUGGUUGGAUACGUGACGCUGAGACGCGAAAGCGUGGGGAGCAAACAGGGAUUAAGAAACCCCAGGUACAGU